rnacentral:snRNA from 1 species
GAGCUCACUUCGGCAGCACAUAUAUUAAAAUUGGAACGAUACAGAGAAGAUUAGCAUGGCCCCUGCACAAGGCUGACAUGCAAAUUCGUGAAGCAUUCCAUAUUUUC